rnacentral:piRNA from 1 species
UUAAAAGUCUGAAUUAAUGGUAGUAAGAGGU